AUAAUAUUAUUAGAGGUUGUUUAAGGUGGAAUUGUUAAUUAAAGUAAUUUUGGRAUGUUUUUUAGUAUAGUUUAUAGAACUUAGGUGAAGAAUAAUAGAGUAGGAGUACUGUGGGGGAAGUGUGAAAWAGAUGAAAAANNNNNNNNNNNNNNNNGAAGAAUGAAGUUUGUACSUUGGGUAKCAGGGUUUAUUAAUUAAUAAUAAUGAUGAUUUAUGMYYCCCGAAUUAAARAGAGUUAAAAUGAUAUAGUAGUURAUGUGUUAUUAUUAUUAGUGAUGUUAUUUKAGGAAWGAAAUGUUAAACGUUUUUUAAGUUAUCUGGUUCUUCAAGAAAWGAAUUUAAUUCAUGUUAUUGAGAGUAAAUGUUUAAUUUCGAUUAAUGGUUUAUUUUUWAUUUCAAAUGUAUAAAGGGAUAAGCUUGUAUAUGAAUAUUAUAAAUUGUGGAAUUAUAAAGAGKGGUAGGCUUUAAAUUACCCAAAAAUGAAAUAAUGUUAUAAGUUGNNNNNNGUAGGGAGGUGAUUUUUKAGUGAUUUUUAAUUUGUUUAUUGAAGUGUUAUAUUGCACARGUUUAUMUAAGUAAUAAUGAUAAAAUGAGUAUAUGAAAUUGUUUACAUAGUUAGAGAUGGAAAUUUAUARUAAGGAAUUAGGCAAAUUGUCACUCSCCUGUUUAUCAAAAACAUCUCCUUUUGUUUAUGUGUAAGGUAGGGCCUGCCCACUGAAGGUAUUUGAAGGGCCGCGGUAUUAUGACCGUGCAAAGGUAGCAUAAUCAUUAGUCUUUUAAUUGAAGGCUGGUAUGAAUGGUUUGACGAGGUGACAGCUGUCUCAUUAUAAUAUGUAGAAGUUAACUUUUAAGUUAAAAGGCUUAAAUAUUAAUGGAGGACGAGAAGACCCUAUAGAGCUUUAUAUAUAAGUUUGAGUUUGUAUUUAGGAGUUUAUAAGAAUUUGAGUGGRUUAUAUUGUGUUGGGGUGACAUAAAGAUAAAAUUAACUCUUUAUUUUAAGAACAUUGAUUUAUGGAUUAUUGAUCCAUUUUUAGUGAUUAUAAGAUUAAGUUACCUUAGGGAUAACAGCGUAAUUUUUCUUGAGAGUUCRUAUCAACAGAGAAGAUUGCGACCUCGAUGUUGGAUUAAGGAAUAUAAUUGGAUGCAGCAGUUUAAUUAAUAGGUCUGUUCGACCUUUAAAUCCUUACAUGAUCUGAGUUCAGACCGGUGUAAGCCAGGUCGGUUUCUAUCCUUAUUUGAUUUUUAUACUUUAGUACGAAAGGACCAAGUAUUUUAAAUAUUUUAUGAAAAUUGAUUAUUAGUA
rnacentral:rRNA from 1 species